CGGACUCCUUCAGCGCGCUGCCUGCCUGCCCAGGGCCUUCCCGGAGAGCAGGUGACGGCGGCCUCCGGGCAUGGAGCUCGCGCUGACGAAAGGUUCUGGAAGCCGCCGUAAAAAGUAAUCAAGAAACGGGUGACAGGACUUUUCCCCUUUGAGGAACCGUUUGAGGUGUGGCACGAUACAGCAAGUCAGCUGCCAAAGAGGGGCUUAGCCACAGGAAGUGCGUGCCCAGAACGGUAAAGGGGCUGUGGCCUUUCUUAUCAUCUCCACUCCCUGUCCCCCCCAUCACCUGCUCUUCGUGCUUUGUGAUAAUUCAGUGAGCUCAUACUCAUGACCUGUGUCCUCCAGCAUCUCCCGUGUCCCUCACAGCAGUUCUAUGAGGCUGGCUGCCCUGUUUGACAACUGAGGCCCGCAUCUUCCCCGGAAUCACCGACGUGUGGCUCUGAGCCCUGUCCCAGGGAUUUUCUCCAUCAGAGAAGAGGAGCACUUUGAGCUUUGAGAGGAGCAGCCCUCUGCAAGUGAAGUGGAAAAAAAGGAAGCAGGCGAGGAGGCCCAUCCAGACCCUCCCCCAAGACCCUUGCUGAAAUGGCUGGGAUGCGGCGUGCAGAAGCUCUCCUUUCCUUCACAGCCCCUGGCUUUCCAAGAGUCCCUGCCCACCCAGAUGCCCGCUGGCAGAUGCAGCCUCAUCUCAAGGACACUGCUUGCUGGAUAAAUCCCUCACCACCCUAGAGACAGCCCACGGUCCUGAGACAAGGAUGCGGGCCAGGCUUGUUGCACGUAAGCGCCUCCCGCAGAAACCAGUGAGGCCGGAGUUCCAGAGGAAAUGAUGUAGGGACAGAGGCAGAGGGCCUCCAGGAGGCACCAGCCCCAGAGUCUUCCCUAGAAUCAGACUUUAAGCACAAGCAGGGAGGGAAAGCACUUGAGCAGUGCCCGUCCCUGCAUACCUGGCCUCUGCUGGAACCCAUGCAGGGACAGGACACUUCUUUAUCAGCAAUCCUGUUCCUCUCCUGGGCAGCUUCAACCUGAACAUCCUCCUUCACCUUGAGCUAAAAUGGGUUUCUUGUCACCCUUGCCCAUCAAACCUGGCCUUGCCCUCAGGAACCACACAGGACAAGCCUAAUACUUCCUUCUUGUGGCAACACUUUAGCAAUUGAGACCUGGCUGUCAGGUCCUCCAAAUAAACAUUUGUGACUGUGAUGUUGA
rnacentral:lncRNA from 1 species